GGGUACAGCGGGCCGGCGGCGGGGGUAGUACGGAGGGGGCAGUCGUGAUCCGGAGUCACAGGGGUUAAAGGGUGCGUAGGUGGAUUAGUAAGUCAGGGGUGAAAUCUCCGGGCUUAACCCGGAAACUGCCAUUGAUACUAUUAGUCUUGAAUACCGUGGAGGUCAGCGGAAUAUGUCAUGUAGCGGUGAAAUGCUUAGAUAUGACAUAGAACACCAAUUGCGGAGGCAGCUGGCUACACGAAUAUUGACACUCAGGCACGAAAGCGUGGGGAUCAAACAGGAUUAGAUACCCCAGUAGUC
rnacentral:rRNA from 1 species